GCUUCUUCUCUUUCUCCUACUCUCUUUUCUCUCUCUACUUUUUCUUCUACCCCUACCCCUACUGAGGAACUUGCUCUUUGGCCUGAAGGACAAGAAGAAGAAGAAGAGCAAGAAGAGCAAGAAGGUCCUGCUUUCCAAAAACCAAGAAAAUUUUCGAAAAGUUUUGUAUCAAAUUCAAAUCCACAUCUUACUAAUCUUCAAUUACAAAUCUCA
rnacentral:ribozyme from 13 species